rnacentral:rRNA from 1 species
AGAGUUUGAUCAUGGCUCAGAACGAACGCUGGCGGCGUGGAUAAGACAUGCAAGUCGAGCGGGAUUUUCUUUGGUAGCAAUACCGAGGAAAAUUCAGCGGCGAACGGGUGCGUAACACGUGGGCAAUCUGUCUUGAAGUGGGGGAUAGCUCGGCGAAAGCCGAAUUAAUACCGCAUGUGAUCAGAGGCGACAUCGCUUCGAAAUCAAAGGUGGCGCAAGCUACCGCUUUUAGAGGGGCCCGCGGCCUAUCAGCUUGUUGGUGAGGUAACGGCUCACCAAGGCUAUGACGGGUAGCUGGUCUGAGAGGACGACCAGUCACACUGGGACUGAGACACGGCCCAGACACCUACGGGUGGCAGCAGUCGAGAAUUUUUGACAAUGGGGGAAACCCUGAUCGAGCGACGCCGCGUGGAGGAUGAAGGUCUUCGGGUUGUAAACUCCUGUCAUUUGGGAACAAGGCGCAGGUAUUAACUGUACUUGCGUUGAUAGUACCAGAAGAGGAAGAGACGGCUAACUCUGUGCCAGCAGCCGCGGUAAUACAGAGGUCUCAAGCGUUGUUCGGAUUCAUUGGGCGUAAAGGGUGUGUAGGUGGCGCCGUAAGUCGGGUGUGAAAUUUCGGAGCUUAACUCCGAAACUGCAUUCGAUACUGCGGUGCUUGAGGACUGGAGAGGAGACUGGAAUUUACGGUGUAGCAGUGAAAUGCGUAGAUAUCGUAAGGAAGACCAGUGGCGAAGGCGGGUCUCUGGACAGUUCCUGACACUGAGACACGAAGGCCAGGGGAGCAAACGGGAUUAGAUACCCCAGUAGUCC